GAUGAACGCUGGCGGCGUGCCUAAUACAUGCAAGUCGAGCGAACAGACGAGGAUCUUGCUCCUCUGACGUUAGCGGCGGACGGGUGAGUAACACGUGGAUAACCUACCUAUAAGACUGGGAUAACUUCGGGAAACCGGAGCUAAUACCGGAUAACAUGUUGAACCGCAUGGUUCAACAGUGAAAGACGGUCUUGCUGUCACUUAUAGAUGGAUCCGCGCCGCAUUAGCUAGUUGGUAAGGUAACGGCUUACCAAGGCAACGAUGCGUAGCCGACCUGAGAGGGUGAUCGGCCACACUGGAACUGAGACACGGUCCAGACUCCUACGGGAGGCAGCAGUAGGGAAUCUUCCGCAAUGGGCGAAAGCCUGACGGAGCAACGCCGCGUGAGUGAAGAAGGUCUUCGGAUCGUAAAACUCUGUUAUUAGGGAAGAACAAAUGUGUAAGUAACUAUGCACGUCUUGACGGUACCUAAUCAGAAAGCCACGGCUAACUACGUG
rnacentral:rRNA from 1 species